UGCAAGUCGAGCGAAUGGAUUAAGAGCUUGCUCUUAUGAAGUUAGCGGCGGACGGGUGAGUAACACGUGGGUAACCUGCCCAUAAGACUGGGAUAACUCCGGGAAACCGGGGCUAAUACCGGAUAACAUUUUGAACCGCAUGGUUCGAAAUUGAAAGGCGGCUUCGGCUGUCACUUAUGGAUGGACCCGCGUCGCAUUAGCUAGUUGGUGAGGUAACGGCUCACCAAGGCAACGAUGCCGUAGCCGACCUGAGAGGGUGAUCCGGCCACACUUGGGACUGAGACACGGCCCAGACUCCUACGGGAGGCAGCAGUAGGGAAUCUUCCGCAAUGGACGAAAGUCUGACGGAGCAACGCCGCGUGAGUGAUGAAGGCUUUCGGGUCGUAAAACUCUGUUGUUAGGGAAGAACAAGUGCUAGUUGAAUAAGCUGGCACCUUGACGGUACCUAACCAGAAAGCCACGGCUAACUACGUGCCAGCAGCCGCGGUAAUACGUAGGUGGCAAGCGUUAUCCGGAAUUAUUGGGCGUAAAGCGCGCGCAGGUGGUUUCUUAAGUCUGAUGUGAAAGCCCACGGCUCAACCGUGGAGGGUCAUUGGAACUGGGAGACUUUGAGUGCAGAAGAGGAAAGUGGAAUUCCAUGUGUAGCGGUGAAAUGCGUAGAGAUAUGGAGGAACACCAGUGGCGGAAGGCGACUUCUGGUCUGUAACUGACACUGAGGCGCGAAAGCGUGGGGGAGCAAACAGGAUUAGAUGCCCUGGUAGUCCACGCC
rnacentral:rRNA from 1 species